rnacentral:rRNA from 1 species
GAUGAACGCUGGCGGCGUGCCUAAUACAUGCAAGUCGAGCGAACGGACGAGAAGCUUGCUUCUCUGAUGUUAGCGGCGGACGGGUGAGUAACACGUGGAUAACCUACCUAUAAGACUGGGAUAACUUCGGGAAACCGUAGCUAAUACCGGAUAAUAUUUUGAACCGCAUGGUUCAAAAGUGAAAGACGGUCUUGCUGUCACUUAUAGAUGGAUCCGCGCUGCAUUAGCUAGCUGGUAAGGUAACGGCUUACCAAGGCAACGAUGCAUAGCCGACCUGAGAGGGUGAUCGGCCACACUGGAACUGAGACACGGUCCAGACUCCUACGGGAGGCAGCAGUAGGGAAUCUUCCGCAAUGGGCGAAAGCCUGACGGAGCAACGCCGCGUGAGUGAUGAAGGUCUUCGGAUCGUAAAACUCUGUUAUUAGGGAAGAACAUAUGUGUAAGUAACUGUGCACAUCUUGACGGUACCUAAUCAGAAAGCCACGGCUAACUACG